GGCGGAGGUCCCGGCGAAAUCAGGGGCUCAGGGGACCCAAAGAAAGCGGAGGAUCAUAGGGGUGGAAAGAAAGCUGAGAACCUUGAGACCAGAGUAUGGGGGGGCCAAUGGGGAAGGGCGCUAGGAUUUUAAACUAAAGUAGGGACCGGAAUUCCCCUGGGGAGAAGAUGUUGGAUGGCUCUGUGCACUGCCACGGGCCCUUUAUUCUUCGCUGGUUGAAAACAGAUUUGUGAAAAAGAGUUACGCCCACUUUGGGGAGAAUUCGAAAAGGUUAAGAAGUUCUUAGAAGAGUUCUACCAGGAUGAUGAACUUGGGAAGAAGCAGUUCAAGUAUGGGAACCAGUUGGUUCGACUGGCUCAUCGGGAACAGGUGGCUCUGUAUGUGGACCUGGACGACGUAGCCGAGGAUGACCCCGAGUUGGUGGACUCAAUUUGUGAGAAUGCCAGGCGCUACGCGAAGCUCUUUGCCGAUGCCGUACAAGAGCUGCUACCUCAGUACAAGGAGAGGGAAGUGAGUGGCUAGAGAACAAUGGCAAACAAAGGGCGAGGCGUUUAAGCUUCUGUAGAGAGGCUGCUCAGAUACGAUGUUUUCUGAGCAGGCAGAAAGGAGGGGCACUUCUGCCUGGUGUUCUCUGUGCUCUCCUUUCCCUCCUGUCGCUCAUUUUUUUUUUGUGUGUGUGUGUGUGUCCUCGUUUAGGUGGUAAAUAAAGAUGUUUUGGAUGUUUACAUUGAGCAUCGGCUGAUGAUGGAGCAGCGGAGUCGGGACCCUGGGAUGGCCCGAA
rnacentral:sRNA from 1 species